rfam:Triticum aestivum genome assembly, contig: Triticum_aestivum_CS42_TGACv1_scaffold_249614_3DL
GUUAUACUCCGUCCCAAAAUUCUUGUCUUAGAUUUGUCUAGAUACGGAUUUAUCUUGUCUAAAUACGGAUGUAUCAAGUUAUGUUUUAGUAUUAGAUACAUCCGUAUCUAGACAAAUCUAAGACAAGAAUUUUGGGACGGAGGGAGUACUAC